ACUCCUACGGGAGGCAGCAGUAGGGAAUCUUCCACAAUGGGCGCAAGCCUGAUGGAGCAACACCGCGUGAGUGAAGAAGGGUUUCGGCUCGUAAAGCUCUGUUGUUAAAGAAGAACACGUAUGAGAGUAACUGUUCAUACGUUGACGGUAUUUAACCAGAAAGUCACGGCUAACUACGUGCCAGCAGCCGCGGUAAUACGUAGGUGGCAAGCGUUAUCCGGAUUUAUUGGGCGUAAAGAGAGUGCAGGCGGUUUUCUAAGUCUGAUGUGAAAGCCUUCGGCUUAACCGGAGAAGUGCAUCGGAAACUGGAUAACUUGAGUGCGGAAGAGGGUAGUGGAACUCCAUGUGUAGCGGUGGAAUGCGUAGAUAUAUGGAAGAACACCAGUGGCGAAGGCGGCUACCUGGUCUGCAACUGACGCUGAGACUCGAAAGCAUGGGUAGCGAACAGGAUUAGAUACCCUGGUAGGAUAGCG
rnacentral:rRNA from 1 species